AAAUGUUAAAUGCUCAUGUACUAAAUUGAGAAUGACACAGAGGAAAUUAGCAUGGCACCUGUGCGAGGAUACCAUACAGAUUUGUCAAACAUUCCAUAUUUUU
rnacentral:snRNA from 1 species